AAUAAAUCUAAAAUUGUAUAUUAUACUAGUGUACCUAUAGUGAAAAACAGUGACAGACCUGAAGACAACAUUAUUGAAAGAUUGUGGGCCUUCCUUACAGUAAAGGAGCUACUGGGGAAAGAAGUGCUUCUGAAAGGCCUGGAAAAAAACAGUGCAAUGAAAGAAGUCCUUGAACUUUCUCUGAAGUACAAGUUUGUCACACCGCUUACAUCAAUGGUGGUCACCAAGCCCCAGUGUCAGAAAAUACAGGUUGCCCACAAACCCAAAGAGGGAGAUAACCCAUAUACAAUACAAAUACCAAUGGAACCCCAACCAACAGUACAAGGGCUAACCGAUGGGGCCAGGCCUCAUGGUGGGACCAGGCAUGGCGGUCGCAU